GAUGAACGCUAGCGAUAGGCCUAACACAUGCAAGUCGAGGGGCAUCACAUGAAGUAGCAAUACGGAUGGUGGCGACCGGCGCACGGGUGAGUAACACGUAUGCAACCUGCCUUCAACAAGGGGAUAACCCGUUGAAAGACGGACUAAUACCCUAUAACACAGGGGUCCCGCAUGGGAAUAUUUGUUAAAGGACAACCGGUUGAAGAUGGGCAUGCGUUCCAUUAGCUAGUUGGCGGGGUAACGGCCCACCAAGGCAACGAUGGAUAGGGGAACUGAGAGGUUUAUCCCCCACACUGGUACUGAGACACGGACCAGACUCCUACGGGAGGCAGCAGUGAGGAAUAUUGGUCAAUGGACGCAAGUCUGAACCAGCCACGUCGCGUGAAGGAAGACGGCCCUACGGGUUGUAAACUUCUUUUAUACGGGAAUAAAGUGCCCCACGCGUGGGGUUUUGCAUGUACCGUAUGAAUAAGGAUCGGCUAACUCCGUGCCAGCAGCCGCGGUAAAUACUGA
rnacentral:rRNA from 1 species